GGGCUCGCACAAGCAGUGGAGCAUGUGGUUUAAUUCGACGAUAAGCGAAAAACCUCACCAGGGUUUGAAAUCUCGGGAAUCCUCUAGAAAUAGAGGAGUGCCUUCGGGAACCCGAUGACAGGUGCUGCAUGGUUGUCGUCAGCUCGUGCCGUGAGGUGUACCCUUAAGUGGGCUAACGAGCGAAACCCCUAUCCUGUGUUACAAGUGUCACGGGAGACUGCCUCGGUUAACGGGGAGGAAGGUGGGGAUGACGUCAAAUCAGCAUGGCUCUUACAUCCUGGGCUACACACGUGCUACAAUGGCUGUUACAAAGGGUUUGCCAAACCGUAAGGUGGAGCUAAUCCCAGAAAAACAGUCUAAGUUCGGAUUGAAGGCUGCAACUCGCCUUCAUGAAGUUGGAAUUGCUAGUAACCGUGAAUCAGAACGUCACGGUGAAUACGUUCUCGAGCCUU
rnacentral:rRNA from 1 species